GGUUCGGUGGUGUAGUUGGUUCAUCACAACAGUCUAACAACCUGUGCAAUACACUGUACAUAGUUCCACUGUAGGUCCUCGGUUCGAGCCCGGGCCGAAUCA
rnacentral:tRNA from 2 species